rnacentral:lncRNA from 1 species
CUUCCCAUGAUUUGGGCCUCAAUUAGUUGUCUUGGGAAAUGAAGCUACUCUUUCCCUGAUUCCAAGGAGCAUUUCAGAAGCGUUUACGAGCAUCGCGAAAACCCUCAGGCAUCUCACGCCUGCUGUUUUGGACAAGUGGAUCUCAGUCUUCGGGGAAGUGACUGCAGUCCAGUCACUGCUGCCCUGCUCCGGCCUGAGACGAUUCUUCCACCUCCAGUCUGGACUCCUGCCAGCCUCGUCAUCCAUCUCCACUCAUCUGCCGACGUCCUCUUUCCAAGACGCUGGUCAGAACUUGUUCUUCCUGCUCACCACCUUCACGAGGUCCCGGCUACUUUCACCAAAGAACCAAGCCCCCUCGGCUCUCUUGAUCCUGCCCUGCCUGCUGUCCAGCCUCACCUGCUCUGCCAUCCCCUCACACUUUCCAGUUCCCCGAAAUGCCACUGUCCCAGUCAUCUGUCAUAUCUCUGAGGCCCUGGAUAUGCUGUUCUUCUUGACUGGAAUUCUCUUCUCCCCGCUCCUGCCCAUCUGCUAACUCUCAGUCAUCCUUCAAAACUGUGCUUGGAGCCAACUGGAAUGGCACAUACCUGUAAUCCUGGCACUCAGGACGUUGAGGUAGGAAGAUUGCCACCUGUUCGAGGCCAACCUGGGUAUAUUGAGCUCAAAGCCAGCCUGAACUACAUAGCAAGACUCCCCCUCAAAGAACGAAACAAAACAAAAACAAUGCUCGGGUUUUACCUUUCUCCCGAAGACUUCUUGUCUCCCCUCCUUGUCAGGAUCCAUUCACUCCUUGCUCCACAUCACCUCUGGGGUGUGCACUUGUGAGUGCGCUAUUUGUAUCACUGGUUGGGAAACUGAGCCUCAGAAAGGGUAACCAGGAUUUCAAGUUAAAUUAUGGACUCAAAUCCAAAUAAUUCUGAUUCCUAGGCAAGUGCCUUAUUUACUGUACUCUCAAAGAAUUAACCAAAUUCCACACACUUACACACUUACAUACACACA